AACCUAACUAAUCAAGCAUUCAAAUAGCAACAUCAUUAGCUAUGACCAAACUUUGUUUUAGGACGGCUCUUCUUCUCGCCCUUUUGAUGAUGUCCUUCUCUUGUAAGUAUAUGCCAUUUCUGAUUUGCAAUUAAUAUAAUGGUUCCAGGUUUUGCAUAGUUUAUAACCAAAUACACAAUUGAGUGGAAUUGUAAUGUAUGUUUAAGAUCCUGCAAGUUUAAAGAAUUAAAACAAAUUCACGUUUGCAAAGCAAAUCACGAUAUUAUAAUUUUUUUUUGUUUUUAACUCUUGAUAAUUUCCGGAAUCUGCUAUGUCACGAUGUCGUCAAUCACAACUAUGAUCAAUGUAACACGUCUAAGUAACUAAUUUGUGAAAAUAUCAUAUAUAUGUAUAUUAUUUUUUGAAUUGAUGUAUAUUAUAUUAUGUUAUAAUUUGAUAUCUUUUUUUUUAAAUAAUUUGAAGAUCAAAGUAAAACAAUCGAAGCUAGGGGGGACAGUGGAGAGCCUUCGGAGAUGACUUUAGCAGUGCAAAUGUCAUUGUUAAGGCAGUGCAAAGAAGCCAACAAAGACUGUCCCCUGAGGAAUGGUUGUUUUGUUAAUCUCCUUGGUGACAAAUGUAAUUGCCAAUGUCCCAAACCUGAUCAUUCUCCUACUUCUCUCGAUUGUAAUGAAUUUGGAAAAUGUCCUAGACCAUAAACUCCUACUCCUUCAAAAGUAUAAAGAAAGAAAAUUGUUGAAUUUUAAACUAGUCAUGAAUUUCUGAGAGAUAUCUUCGCCUUAUGAUAGAAGAGAAGUUCAGUUAUUUUGGUUCUA
rnacentral:lncRNA from 1 species